GUCACGUGGAUUUACUCUUCCGGUCCGAAGUUCUGCUGGAGUCUUAUAGAGUAAGUGCGAUUUUAAACCUAAAAUAAGCUAAUGUUACGGGCGUAAACGCACUAAUUCUGCGGAAAAUGGACAUAUAAUGUAUCGCAUACCCUUGGAUCCUGCGCCUUUGGAAAAAUGUCAACGUAAGCGAAAAUUGAACUAAGGGGUGUAGGCACUUGUCACCAAAUGUCGUGCUGUGUACUUAUCAUGUUGAAUUGUGCGUGGCUGUGAUAAGAUUAUCAACUCAUAAUGUGAAUAGAAUAUUACUAAAGCCACAGCUUCUUCCCAGACUAAAAGAAAACGAUUACAUGCGUACUAUCGUCAGAGUGCCGAAGAUUGCACCGUAAAAUACUGCCUGCACAUUUUGUUGCGCCAUAUCUGAAAUGUUGUCUGUUAUCUUUGUUAUUUGAAGCGUCAAAUUGACCGCACUGUAACAGAACAUUUCCCGUAGCAAAAGAUUGCGAUUUUGAAGCGCACGCCGAACGAAACCGAAACAUGCACGACGUGUCACGAAAUAUUAUCUUUGUCGCAAGAAAAGCACGUGCGAAGUAUUCGUUACAGUACCUUACUUCUUUGGUGUGCAGGCAUUCCCAGGAAAACUCAUCUUGGUUGUCUUUUAAGCCAGAUGGUAGAAGUUUUGCUUUGCUCCAAUUGAGCGCAAUUUCGGACCGGAAGUUCGAAGACUCAGCAUGCGUAGCGCCACUUCUCAACUUGAAAACCACCCAUAUAUCUGCUCUACGUACCGCACAACCAUUCUUACUUUUCGGCACACAGCCUAAAUGUGAAUGCCGAAGAGAUAGUAUAAGUAUGAUAGCAAGACGCUCUUCCUUUCGUUAUCAGGCUGGAAAGGAAGGUAAUUAUAAGCCGCCAAAUGCAAAAAUUAGAGUAUAUAAUUAUAGUAUAGUACUAUAGUGGUGAAUGCAUGCAUGGGCAGGUAAUUGGUCUAUGCAUGCUCAGGGAAGCUGCGCUCACAGCCGUGUGAGAAACGGAAUAGAUUUUAAUACGAAGUAGAGCACUGCACGGGCUAACUCGAAAACCCGAGGCCGGCCCAGUCUUCCUUUUUGCGGGGCUGGGCUCAGGUAUGGCCAUUAUGGGCCCGGUUCGGGAACGGACCUGAACCUUGUCGGCCGUAGGUCAGUCUGGAGUUUCCUAUGUUACCCUUAUGUUAAGUACACCCAGUCAAAUUUUACAGCCUGAUACACUGGGCCGGGUAUCCUAUAAAUUUCUUGGGCUUGGGCCGGGUCAGGUAUGCAGCCGUCAAGCCGGGCCCGGGCAAACAUCCUCGUAGACUACCUUCGUCCGCUGCAAAUAAAGGGGAAACCAUGCAGGACAAGACAGAGCACUAACAGAGCCGUAACGCUUUUAGUUCAUGCAUGCUUAUGAUUUUACAGUGCACGUACCUUCUUCGUCCUUGAACUUUAGUUCUUCAACGUGUGGCUGAAAUCCAUGGUAGGUUACAUGGUGGGUCGAAAGGUCCUCACGAAACGAGAAAUUGGCGCCGGAGCAUUGGAGGGGGGGGGGGGGGUCAUACCAAAAUUUUUGCGAAACGUCUGAACGACGCCGUGCACGUUCUUCAAAUGAACUUUGCACUGAACGCUUUGGAGCAGAAGGCACAAGUGCGGUCAUCGGUACUCUGCCCCCGAACUCUCUCAUCGUGCAGCGAUGCCAUUCCAAUCACACACCCUUUGGGCACCGGCAGGGAAAAUGCGGCAGAGACACGCGUGGACAACGCAUGGACCACGGUGGACGAUGGACGUCUUUGGCUCUCUAGGUCACGCUGGCGCGAACUCAAGAGAAGGAACGGAGAAGAAAGGAGAUGGACAGCAUACCUGGAUGUAAUAGACACCAGUUCCGGAUACACAGCUAAAUAUACGCCAAGCAAAAUCGCACUGGUCCUUCGAGGUGCAGAGCACCGAAACUGCGACUAUUCUCUAGAGAGCGGGCUUGAGAUCUUCCCCCUCCCUCGGGCGCCCCGCCCACACGGAGCGCGCCAAUGGGAGGACGCGUGGGUGGUGUCGGCUGAGUGCCAUCUGAGGGCAGUGGUUGGAACGUAGACUGGGACUUGCUUUUGGCGAUGCUACAUCCACUGGGUCAUUCCAUCCACCACGGCCCUGAGUUGGCCCGUGAGAUGGCGCUGCGCGAUCUGUGAACCCAGAGCCGCAUAAUAAAAGGGAGUCUGGCCAUUGGGAGGAGUCACAAAAAGAGGCUCGACCUGUCAAUCACAGUUUCGCUCCUCUGAUUGGUUUGCUUUUUACCAAGGGGGUCGCCAUGACACCAUACUGCCACCCAAAAUGGCGACGAAAACAAACACAGUGAAGCGGGGAUUUCGUGACAAAAAAUUUUCACAGACUAACCUGAUUUUACGCUGCAAAUG